AAUUUUUGUAUUCAAAACGAUUUGAACACUUUUCCAAACGUUAAGAGGAGCAAGAGGAGCGUGUGCAGAUUCAAAUCAGAACGUGCCCUAACGGCACUCAAAGGAGCGUGUCUAGAUUCAAUUCAGAACGUGCCCUAACGACACCCAAAUUACAGGGCAAUGGUCGUUAAAAAAGCAAUGACCGUUAAAAAAAACAGAAAUUCAUAUCUUAUAAAUGAACAGUUUACUUGACAAGCAGGACAGAUUUCUUGUUUUGUUUUCUUUUUGGUUGAUUUGUCUCCCAUUGUAUGUUUUUGGCGUGGCCAUGCCUAUUUUUGAAAUUUGUUUUCCUGAAUUUUGGUUUUGAAUUUUGGUUUCCUGAGUCUUGGUAUUUCGUGUAUCGUCUUUUUUUUUUGGUGGGUUGUCAUUUUUUAAUGGUCAUUUAGUAUUCAGCAGGAAUAACUCUACAGUCUGGAGUGGCUGAUUGGAGAUGUGGACAGAAAAUAGGCAAAGCCAGAGGUGAUCGACUUUGCUUGACCAUUUUAACAGUAUCUUGGUCACCAUGUUGUGGAAGUAAGCUUAUUUCUUGGUUCUAUCAUCCAUGCAUGGUGAGAUUUUAUGUUUCUUGUAUAUUGGCUUUCUUGUUCUCAAAUCUACUGAGUGUUUAUAUUGGUCCCUAUUUUACAAUGCUCUUUCUGCACGACUUUAGGUAGUUUUUUAUUCUUUUGUGUUUUCAAUGUUGCUCGAUGUUAUAGUUGAUUCUUAUAUAUUCUCAAAACCUUCAACAUAUUUCAUGCUUCAUAAUUCAAGAUUAAGGUAUCUUUGUGUGCAUUUGGAUCGAUUGCUGCAUUCCCGACAUAGCCUUUUCGUCAAAUCUAUUCUGUGCAUACACUGAAAUUAUUUUACUCUAUUUCUUUUGUUUGAAGCAUUAUGAGUUGUACCUUGACUAUACUUCCAUUUUGUGCAUACAAUGAAAUUAUUUUAUUCUAUUCUUUUAUUUUGAAGCAUUAUGAGUUGUACAUUGACCAUACUUCCACAGUUUGCAUGCAUGUGGACUUUGUUAUCUCUGUUUAAUAGAGGGCUUGUGUGCACGAUUGGUGUGUUACCCUUUUUAUUUUAUCUUUACAGUUUGCAUGUAUACAACUUCUGACGAAUUUCUGUGUCUUUUGCGUUUUGCACCUAUCUGUUUAUUUAAAAAAUAGUUUGCAUAACUUAUUUAUGCAUUUUGCAUACAUGAUUACCAACAUGCAAGAUCAUUAGAAACAAUAUCAUAGAAAAUCAUCCAGAAAAUGACUUUUUUUCAAGUAGACUUCUAAUGACUAGCAUGGUUACCAAACAUUUGUAAUCUUAACAUCUGAAAAAGUGAUUACACCAAAAUAGAAGUCCAGGCAAGUAAGGCAGCAUGGUAUCUUGCCAAUACUAAAACAAUACCAUAAUAAAUCGUAUAGAAACUUAAUAUUAUUGGUAUUUCCA